UCACUUUCUCUUUUUUGCAAGCUCAUAAAUAAAUGUUGCCUGAGGAGUCUUUAAACACACAGCCAAAGGUAGUAAAAAAACCACAAUUUCCACAAAAUAGAACAAAAUAAUUGAGUCCCUAAAGUAUCUUUCCUCUUCAGCCAGCAUAAUAACCAACUGUUCAAAGAAGAGUUUUGAGGAACAUGCCCAAGGCUAGAUUUUAGACAUUAAUAGAAGUUGGACCUGCAAAGAGAUGAUACCUAUUUGAGACCUUGUGUUUAUUGGGUAAUUGAAAUUAAUUCUCCUUAAUGGAGGUACCUCAUAGGUAGUGAUCUUAAAAAUGAGAGACCCUUUCAUUGAAAAUGGUCUUAGGGUUUUGACAAAGUUUACACGUGUUGUGUAUUCAACAAGAAAAAUGACAACAAAACUAAGCAAUCUACGUAAAUAAAUAUUUGAUUUAGAGCCUAUGUGCAUAGAUGAUCCAAUCAAUCCAAAUACAAUGGUAAUGAGAGUAGAAAAAAAAAUUGUUUACUUAGUUCAACCUAAAUUGACGUAUAUUUUGGGGGAAUGACAACUCUUUGAUUCACUAUUGACUCGUCUAUACAAGAG
rnacentral:lncRNA from 1 species